rnacentral:rRNA from 1 species
AAAUCAUCUCGUUGGCUGCGAACAAUAUGGGGUGGAUAAAAGCGAGGCCUAUGAUAUUGUGCCGUGCAUGCUGAGAGAUGAUCAUACUUUUUCAGGUGAUCCCAAACCAUGCGUCGAUCCAUGGAUGGCGUUUUGAAU